rnacentral:rRNA from 1 species
UACGGAGGAUCCAAUCGUUAUUCGGAGUGACUGGGCGUAAAGAGUUGCGUAGGGGGUUUGUUAAGCAAAUAGUGAAAUCUUGUGGCUCAACCAUAAGGCUAUUAUUUGAACUGGCAGACUUGAGAAUAUGAGAGGUAGAUGGAAUUCCCAGUGUAGGAGUGAAAUCCGUAGAUAUUGGGAGGAACACCAAUGGCGUAGGCAGUCUACUGGCAUAUUUCUGACCCUGAGGCACGAAAGCGUGGGGAGCGAACCGG